CCGGCGUCCAUCUUCAUUGCUCGACCUUAUGACUACGCAAGAUCUCUGCCGAAGUUGCGAUUCAUAUUCCUGUAACGGAAUCUCCAGCCUCCUAUAAAUCAAUGUUGUCAAUGGUGACUUUCAAUUUUCUCUUAACUUUUCUACCAGAGUUGUGGUUCGCCUCCUGAUUGAACCUUACAUAACCUUUGAGUAUUUUUCAAGCUCUGGAUAGGGUAUCAAGUUGUGUAGCAUCUCUGUGGAAACACGACUCCAACCUACUGUUUGAUAGUUUUUUCAAUUCAUUGUUGGGUUUUGCUUUUACAAUUAGUUGAAAGAGUCUACUUAUUGUUUCCACGACAGGAAUGUUACCGUCUACUUAUCUCUGUGGGAUGAGGCUGCAUCAACCUUUAGGAGCAUUUUCAAAGCAGGGGAUAGAACCCAGUCUGUGAUGUUGGUAACCACGGUUAAUCCUAAACUGUUUGGAGGUAAGGAUCACCUGUUCUCUGGUUCAUACAAUGAUUGUCCCAUGUAACUAACACAUUUUUUUCCAAUCAGGUAAUCACCAAGGUUAGCUCUCAUUUGCCUCUUAAUUUUACUCCUCCACUUUUCUACUUUGUUUAACUUUGUAACCUCCGAUCCGAAAAUGUCUUCAUCAGGUGCUUCAGUGGAUAACGCCGUCGUCCCACACUUUACCUUCGACUCUUCGCCUCAGAGGAACUGCUCAGUUUGUUAUUGGUCGUCUCAUCCCAGGAACGUCAAGAAGAAUGGAGAGUUCACGGGGAUCACAAUUCUACUCAACGAAUUGAUGAGCAGUCACAAAGUAUCCAAAUCAACAGCAACUCUGUGAGUGGGUUAUUCUACAUGGAUAGAGCAAGAUGACAUGUCUGUGCUCUCUCCCUCCCUGUAAGGCCUUACCUUUUGUCUGCUUCUUCUCUCUCCAAGGAGCAGUCACAGGUUAAAUUGGAGCUCACGUUAUUAGAAGCUCUUGAAAUCUAUCCUCCCGUUAAACUCCGAGGCA